GCCCUCAUGGCGUAAUGGUAACGCGUCAGACUUCUAAUCUGAAGAUUGUGGGUUCGAGCCCCACUGGGGGUG
rfam:Lipomyces starkeyi NRRL Y-11557 unplaced genomic scaffold LIPSTscaffold_2, whole genome shotgun sequence.